GACGAACCGAGCGAACGUUGUUCGGAAUCACUGGGCUUAAAGGGCUCGUAGGCGGUUUGUCGCGUCGGGAGUGAAAACUCAGGGCUUAACCCUGAGCCUGCUUCCGAUACGGGCAGACUAGAGGUAUGCAGGGGAGAAUGGAAUUCCUGGUGUAGCGGUGAAACGCGCAGAUAUCAGGAGGAACACCGGUGGCGAAGGCGGUUCUCUGGGCAUUACCUGACGCUGAGGAGCGAAAGUGUGGGGAGCGAACAGG
rnacentral:rRNA from 1 species